rnacentral:rRNA from 1 species
UACGUAGGGUGCAAGCGUUAAUCGGAAUUACUGGGCGUAAAAGCGUGCGCAGGCGGUUUUUGUAAGUCAGAUGUGAAAUCCCCCGGGCUUAACCUGGGAACUGCGUUUUGAAACUACAAGGCUAGAGUGUGGCAGAGGGGGGGUGGAAUUCCACGUGUAGCAGUGAAAAUGCGUAGAGAUGUGGAGGAACACCGAUGGCGAAGGCAGCCCCCCUGGGUCAAGAUUGACGCUCAUGCACGAAAGCGUGGGGGAGCAAACAGG